GUAAGUUGAGUAGCAAUACUUGACCUAGAGUGUCGCACGGGUGCGUAACACGUAUGCAACCUACCCAUAACAGGAGGAUAGCUCCCCGAAAGGGGAAUUAACCCUCCAUAGUAAUAUUGAAUGGCAUCAUUUGAUAUUUAAAACUGAGGUGGUUAUGGAUGGGCAUGCGUCUGAUUAGUUAGUUGGCGGUGUAACGGACCACCAAGACGAUGAUCAGUAGGGGAACUGAGAGGUUGAUCCCCCACACUGGCACUGAGAUACGGGCCAGACUCCUACGGGAGGCAGCAGUAGGGAAUAUUGGUCAAUGGAUGGAAGUCUGAACCAGCCAUGCCGCGUGCAGGAAGAAGGCCUUAUGGGUUGUAAACUGCUUUUGCCAGGGGAUAAAAUAGCUGUGCGCAGCGAAUUGCAGGUACCUGGUGAAUAAGCCACGGCUAACUACGUGCCAGCAGCCGCGGUAAUACGUAGGUGGCAAGCGUUGUCCGGAUUUAUUGGGUUUAAAGGGUGCGUAGGCGGCCCUGUAAGUCAGUGGUGAAAUACUCCAGCUUAACUGGAGGGGUGCCAUUGAUACUGCAGGGCCUGAGUGGAGUAGAAGUAGGCGGAAUUGACGGUG
rnacentral:rRNA from 1 species